GGCAAAGGAGGUGAAAAUGCAGUGACAAUCAGGAGGUUUGCCUAGAAGCAGCCACCCUUUAAAGAGUGCGUAAUAGCUCACUGAUCAAGCGUUUUCGCGCCGAAAAUGACCGGAACUAAGUUUUUUGCCGAAGCUGUGGCUACAUCACAUAGAUGAUGUAGGGUAGAGGAGCGUUCCGUCCAGGGGGAAGCCAAGCGCGUAAGCCGCGGUCGACAGGACGGAAGUGAGAAUGUCAGAUUGAGUAACGUAAACAUUGGUGAGAAUCCAAUGCCCCGAAAACUCAAGGGUUCCUGCGCAAGGCUCGUCCGCGCAGGGUCAGUCAGGACCUAAGGUGAGGCCGAAAGGCGUAAUUGAUGGCAAGAAGGUUUAUAUUCCUUCACUAAUCUAGGCUUAGUCCUGAGGGACGAACAAAUAACACUCGGCACAACGGCCACACUUGGCAGUAUGGAUAAACCCGUUGCUGUUUGAUGCUAUUUAUUCCAAGAAAAGCUCAUUCGACUUUGAGUCUAGAUUACCUGUACCGUAAACCGACACAGGUGAGUGGGUUGAAUAAACUAAGGGGAGCGAGAUAACUCUCUCUAAGGAACUCGGCAAAUUGGCUCUGUACCUUCGGAAGAAAGAGUGCCCCUUCAUGGGGCCGCAGUGAAGAGAUCCAGGCGACUGUUUACCAAAAACACAGGUCUCCGCAAAGUCGUAAGACGACGUAUGGGGGCUGACACCUGCCCAGUGCCAGAAGGUUAAAGAAGUUGGUCAAUCUUUGAUGAAGCUAACAACUGAAGCCCUGGUGAACGGCGGCAGUAACUAUAACUGUCCUAAGGUAGCGAAAUUCCUUGUCGGGUAAGUUCCGACCCGCACGAAAGGUGUAACGAUCUGGAUACUGUCUCAGAGAGAGACUCGGUGAAAUAAAACUAGCUGUGAAGAUGCGGCUUACCUGCACACGGACAGAAAGACCCUAUGAAGCUUUACUGUAACCUGGAAUUGCUUUCAAGCUUAUUUUGCGCAGCUUAGGUGGGAGGCUACGAACCUUUUCUUCCGGGAAGAGGGGAGCCAUCAGUGAGAUACCACUCUUGGUAAGCUAGAAAGCUCAGUCUUAACCGUUAUCCGGUAAGACGACAGUUUCAGGCGGGCAGUUUGACUGGGGCAGUCACCUCCCAAAAGGUAAUGGAGGUGCACAAAGGUUCCCUCAGGUUGGACGGAAAUCAACCAUAGAGUGUAAAAGCAUAAGGGAGCUUGACUGCGAGACUGACAUGUCAAGCAGAGACGAAAGUCGGUUUUAGUGAUCCGACGGUGCUGCGUGGAAAGGCCGUCGCUCAACGGAUAAAAGUUACUCUAGGGAUAACAGGCUAAUCUCCCCCAAGAGUUCACAUCGACGGGGAGGUUUG
rnacentral:rRNA from 1 species